rnacentral:rRNA from 1 species
AGUGAACGCUGGCGGCAGGCCUAACACAUGCAAGUCGAGCGGCAGCGGGUCCCCGCGAGGGGAUGCCGGCGAGCGGCGGACGGGUGAGGAACACAUCGGAAUCUGCCUGGUUGUGGGGGAUAACGUAGGGAAACUUACGCUAAUACCGCAUGCGACCCUGAGUCGACGGACUGGGGGUGAAAGUGAGGGACCUUCGGGCCGUCACGCGACCAGAUGAGCCGAUGUCGGAUUAGCUAGUUGGCGGGGUAACGGCCGCCAAGGCGACGAUCCGUAGCUGGUCUGAGAGGAUGAUCAGCCACACUGGGACUGAGACACGGCCCAGACUCCUACGGAGGCAGCAGUGGGGAAUCUUGGACAAUGGGCGCAAGCCUGAUCCAGCCAUGCCGCGU